CUCUCUUAAACACUCUUAAAAUAAGCAUCCAAACUUUUGCGAUAGUAAAGUACAGUAUAGAAAAAAUUUUUCGGGGAUCAAGGGUCGAGGAAACGUCCAUUGUUACGCCAUAAUUUCCACGCAGGUUUGCGCAUGCGUACGAAAUUUGAAUUUCGCCGCCUUUUACUGCACUCGAGACUACGGAGUUUGCAACUUUGGGUUUCGGGCGAUGUCAGCAUUGAUGACUACAUAUGUUAAGGUAUCAAUGAUGUUAGUCAACUCACAGACAACAGUUAUUAGAAUGUUGUUAGAAUUGUUUGCUGACUGGGCAUGGGAGGGAUAAAAGUCGACAAAUACUGGUACUGCAAUACCGUGAGAUGAUGAUCAAAAUAUACUACAGUACGAUACUAGGCCUAUUAUUACCGAUGAAUCUGCUUUCACAUCAACAAUGAAGAUGCCUUUUUUUGUCCUGAUGUUGGGCUUUUGGAUACAGGCCUAUUUUUGCUGCAGUUAUAGGAUAACGUUACACAAAAACUGCAUAUGAGGCAUGAACAGACCAGUGCCUUUGGAAUACAUUAACAGAUUAUUUGCAGAAUCUGGUGUACAUCCCACAGAGAAAUUAAAAGGACAAGAUUACAACUUGGGUGUGGGGCAUUCAUAGCCAGAUAUUAUCUUUCACAAAUCAGUUAAAUGUAUUUGAACUCUUGUCCUACAGUUUAUCCAUAAUCCAGAUGCCUUGUAAUUUGGGUUAGGCUCCAUGUUACACAUUACUUUUGGUCAAUUUUUCACUUUA